ACACGACUACAUUAGAUACCCGUGUAGUCCCAGCCCUAAACGAUGCGCGUUAGGUGUAUCGGUGACCACGAGUCACCGAGGUGCCGAAGGGAAACCGUGAAACGUGCCGCCUGGGAAGUACGGUCGCAAAGGCUGAAACUUAAAGGAAUUGGCGGGGGAGCACAACAACGGGUGGAGCUUGCGGUUUAAUUGGAUUCAACGCCGGAAAUCUUACCGGGACCGACAGCAACAUGAAGGCCAAGCUGAAGACUUUGCCGGAUUAGCUG
rnacentral:rRNA from 1 species